GAAGAUGUAGCUCAAUGGUAGAGCAUUUGCAUUCAUGAGGACCUGGGUUCAAAUCUCAGCACCCG
rnacentral:tRNA from 1 species